rnacentral:rRNA from 1 species
AAACCAACAGGGAUUGCCUUAGUAACGGCGAGUGAAGCGGCAAAAGCUCAAAUUUGAAAUCUGGCACCUUCGGUGUCCGAGUUGUAAUUUGAAGAAGGUAACUUUGGAGUUGGCUCUUGUAUAUGUUCCUUGGAACAGGACGUCACAGAGGGUGAGAAUCCCGUG